GACGAACGCUGGCGGCGUGCCUAAUACAUGCAAGUAGAACGCUGAAGCGAGGAGCUUGCUCUUCUUGGAUGAGUUGCGAACGGGUGAGUAACGCGUAGGUAACCUGCCUUGUAGCGGGGGAUAACUAUUGGAAACGAUAGCUAAUACCGCAUAACAAUAGGUGACACAUGUCAUUUAUUUGAAAGGGGCAAUUGCUCCACUACAAGAUGGACCUGCGUUGUAUUAGCUAGUAGGUGAGGUAACGGCUCACCUAGGCGACGAUACAUAGCCGACCUGAGAGGGUGAUCGGCCACACUGGGACUGAGACACGGCCCAGACUCCUACGGGAGGCAGCAGUAGGGAAUCUUCGGCAAUGGGGGCAACCCUGACCGAGCAACGCCGCGUGAGUGAAGAAGGGUUUCGGAUCGUAAAGCUCUGUUGUAAGUCAAGAACGAGUGUGAGAGUGGAAAGUUCACACUGUGACGGUAGCUUACCAGAAAGAGACGGCUAACUACGUG
rnacentral:rRNA from 1 species